rnacentral:tRNA from 1 species
GAAUAUAUAAAUUUUUUUAGAGCUUCUAACUCUGAUCAAUAGCAAUUAAAUAUUGCUUAUGUUCU